rnacentral:rRNA from 1 species
UACGUAGGGUGCAAGCGUUGUCCGGAAUUAUUGGGCGUAAAGAGCUCGUAGGCGGUCUGUCGCGUCUGCUGUGAAAACUCAGGGCUUAACCCUGAGCUUGCAGUGGGUACGGGCAGACUAGAGUGCGGUAGGGGAGACUGGAAUUCCUGGUGUAGCGGUGAAAUGCGCAGAUAUCAGGAGGAACACCGGUGGCGAAGGCAGCUCUCUGGGACGGUACUGACGCUGAGGAGCGAAAGCGUGGGGAGCGAACAGG